rnacentral:rRNA from 1 species
AUUAAACGCUGGCGGCAUGCCUUACACAUGCAAGUCGAACGGCAGCACGGGGGCAACCCUGGUGGCGAGUGGCGAACGGGUGAGUAAAGCAUCGGAACGUGCCCUGGAGUGGGGGAUAACGUAGCGAAAGUUACGCUAAUACCGCAUAUUCUGUGAGCAGGAAAGCAGGGGAUCGCAAGACCUUGCGCUCUGGGAGCGGCCGAUGUCGGAUUAGCUAGUUGGUGGGGUAAAGGCCUACCAAGGCGACGAUCCGUAGCGGGUCUGAGAGGAUGAUCCGCCACACUGGGACUGAGACACGGCCCAGACUCCUACGGGAGGCAGCAGCGGGGAAUUUUGGACAAUGGGCGAAAGCCUGAUCCAGCCAUGCCGCGUGAGUGAAGAAGGCC